CGGAGGGAUCAUUGUUGGAACGCGCUCCGGCGCACCUCCAGACAACCCUUUGUGAACUUAUACCUAUACUGUUGCCUCGGCGUCAGGCUGGCUCCCCUCGGGGGGUCCCUCACCAUCUCGGUGAGGAGCAGGCCCGCCGGCGGCCAAGUUAACUCUUGUUUUUACACUGAAACUCUGAGAAUAAAACAAAAAUGAAUCAAAACUUUCAACAACGGAUCUCUUGGUUCUGGCAUCGAUGAAGAACGCAGCGAAAUGCGAUAAGUAAUGUGAAUUGCAGAAUUCAGUGAAUCAUCGAAUCUUUGAACGCACAUUGCGCCCUCUGGUAUUCCGGAGGGCAUGCCUGUUCGAGCGUCAUUUCAACCCUCAAGCCUGGCUUGGUGAUGGGACACUGCCUUUGAGAAAAGGCAGGUCCUGAAAUUCAGUGGCGAGCUCGCCAGGACCCCGAGCGCAGUAGUUAAACCCUCGCUUUGGAAGGUCUUGGUGCGGCCCUGCCGUUAAACCCCCAACUUCUGAAAAUUUGACCUCGGAUCAGGUAGGAAUACCCGCUGAACUUAAGCAUAUCA
rnacentral:rRNA from 1 species